GACGAACGCUGGCGGCGUGCCUAAUACAUGCAAGUUGAGCGCUGAAGGUUGGUACUUGUGCCAACUGGAUGAGCAGCGAACGGGUGAGUAACGCGUGGGGAAUCUGCCUUUGAGCGGGGGACAACAUUUGGAAACGAAUGCUAAUACCGCAUAAAAACUUUAAACACAAGUUUUAAGUUUGAAAGAUGCAAUUGCAUCACUCAAAGAUGAUCCCGCGUUGUAUUAGCUAGUUGGUGAGGUAAAGGCUCACCAAGGCGAUGAUACAUAGCCGACCUGAGAGGGUGAGCGGCCCCAUUGGGACUGGGACACGGCCCAAACUCCUACGGGAGGCAGCAGUAGGGAAUCUUCGGCGAUGGACGAAAGUCUGACCGAGCAACGGCGCGUGAGUGAAGAAGGUUUUCGGAUCGUAAAACUCUGUUGGUAGAGAAGAACGUUGGUGAGAGUGGAAAGCUCAUCAAGUGACGGUAACUACCCAGAAAGGGACGGCUAACUACGUG
rnacentral:rRNA from 1 species